rnacentral:lncRNA from 1 species
CAGCUAGAAAGUGGGAGAAUUGGGAUUUGAAUACAGACUUGUCUGAACUUCAGCGGCUGCACGCUUUCAUAUCGGUGCAGACGCUGUCCACAAACCGGGUUUGGGAAAGGGCAAGUUACGGGUGCAAAUGGAGCCUUGCAGGUGCCCACGAAUCGAAUAUGGUGCCACCACCCGUGGGCAAGUGUGGGCGGACUUGAUGGGGGACGGGUGGCUAGCGAUUUUCACAGCGCUGAAUCAGGGCUCUGCGUCUGUGGCCGGGGAGUUCCGUGGCCCAGCUGCAGGCGAGGUGAGCCGGUGGGGGAGGGAGCGCAACUGCAAGGGUUGUCCCGGGACAGUGCCGGUACGAACCUCACCCCGCCGCCACCCCCGGGCCAGCUGCUGCAGUCAAUAAGGCGAGGGCCUAGCAGGCGCUCGUCGCCCUCCUGGUGGGGUUCGCUCGGGUGUUCCUACCAGGGUUGAAGAGGGCUAGGGAGCUGAGCUCCGGAAGGGCGGACUAGAGGCCCCAGCGGCCACUCCUAGAGAGGCGGGCAGCUCGGGAGGUCUGAGCGCAGAGGGCGGGCGGAGCCGCACGUUGCGUGGAAUCCCCUAGUUCAUUCCCGGGAGAGCCCCGGGCGCAGGACAGAGCGGUGGAGGGGCGCCUGGGAGCUCUGGGGGACACCAAGAGAAGAGAGGUUAGGGCCAGUGCGCAGCAAACGGGGAGGAACUACGACGCGCUGGGUAGAAAGAGUAAGAGAGGCGCACCCACUUUGCUGGUGAGGGGGGCACACGGGGAGCCUAAGAAAGGCCUAAAGAGGUAGUGGGUGUGAGCCAGCCUCGGGCGCGUUAAAAAGGGGGCGCCGGAGGGAGGCAAGGAGAGGAAGUUGGGUGUAGGAAGAAGCGAGAGGAAACUGUUGCCUGGACAGAGCGUGCCGUGCCAAAGCGCGGAAACGGGAUCAAGGAGGGGGCAUCAGGAAUCGCCUGGGGACCCCCCGGAGAGUGGCGGAAGCGGUGCCCUUGGGCGCAGCAAAGAGAGAAGGGAGCACAGGCUGAGAUAGAGACAGUCCUGGGCGCUGGAGAGCAGGAGCCCCCGGAGCGGCAGGGAAAGGAACGUAGAGCCUGCAUGCUCGGGGUAUGAGCUUACUGCGCUCGCUAGGGUGGCGCGCACUGGGGCUCUAGAAAAGAGGGUUGAGAAGCCCCGGGCAAGUGCCUAGGAAGGUCAGAGGAGUCAGCAAAGUCCACGGAAGAACUUCCCCGGGUUGGAGAGGAAACGCACCCUGGGAGCUGGAAAGAAGAGGAAAGCUAGCCUGGGGGAAGCUUGAUCAGGGCUCUGAGUACCACGAGGAGUGCAGAGGAGGUGCUGAUGAUUGCGGGGAGAGCUCUGAGAGCCCGAGAAAGAUGGGGAAACUGAAGCCCUAGAGGAAAAGAAGACUAAAUGUAUUACCAUCUGACCCACUUCCUGGCCAGCCUGUUCACCUGUCUGCUGUUCUUCAUUGAACAAGAGAAGGAAUCACAAUUGGUCCAUGACAGUCACGGUCAUCUCAUUCCUCUUGCCAGUGGCAGGUGUAUGUGUGAGUUUGCAGCUCAAUCCUGGCCAAGGGGAUCCAAGGACUGCUGAAGAGGCAUGUCUGCACAUGUCACCUAGAACAUCUCCAGCCAUCAUGUGAUCUCUGGGGGAGGCAUUCCCAACUCUCUGAGAGAAGCAGACCAGAAAGAUGGAAAGAAAGCACCUGGCUCCAGGAUGAUGACAUUGAGCCGAUGAAUUAACCACCUUUGUGCUGCUCUAACCUUCAGAGUUCACCUUAACAUGAGAAAAUAAAACCCUUAUUGCUUAGCCACUGGGAUCUUC